GCUGUACACCUCUGAUGAAAGAAAUGAAAGAAUAUGUGAAUAAACAGAGAGAGACACCAUCGACAUGGAUAUAAGAUUUAAUAUUGUCAAAUAUCCCUUCUUCCCAACUGGAUCUACACAGUCAAUGAAAUCCCAAUCCAAUUACCAAUGGAGUCUCACUCUGUAGCCAGGCUGGAGUUCAGUGUCGUAAUCUCAGCUCACUGCAAACUCCGCCUCUCGGGCUCAAGCAAUUCUCCUGCCUCAGCCUCCCAAAUAGCUGGGAUUACAGGCACCCGCCACUACGCCCAGUUGGUGCAGAAGAGUACACAUCGAUCAUACAAAAAGAAAAUUCACCAGGAAGGGUACAGAUAAUGGAAGUGCUUAAAAAUAGUCCUAAAUCUGUCAAUAUUUUAUUUUAUUUUAUUUAUUUAUUUUUAUUUUUUGAGACGGAGUUUCGCUCUUGUUACCCAGGCUGGAGUGCAAUGGCGGGAUCUCGGCUCACCGCAACCUCCACCUCCUGGGUUCAGGCAAUUCUCCUGCCUCAGCCUCCUAAGUAGCUGGGAUUACAGGCACGCGCCACCAUGCCCAGCUAAUUUUUUGUAUUUUUAGUAGAGACGGGGUUUCACCAUGCUGACCAGGAUGGUCUCCAUCUGUUGACCUCGUGAUCCACCCACCUCGGCCUCCUAAAGUGCUGGGAUUACAGGCCUGAGCCACCGCGUCCGCCCAACAUUUUAAAUUCAGACCUUAUGGGGUCCAAAGUGGCUCCCGCCGGAGGUCGUGGCGCUUGCGAAGGCGAGGUCAUGAGUUCAAGGCUAACCUGAUCAACCUCAAGCUCAAACUGAUUGGCAAAAAAUAAAUAAAUAAAUAAAAAUAAAUUCA
rnacentral:lncRNA from 13 species